ACCUCCCGGCAGCCUCGCCAGGCCCAGAACUCUCUCCAGUCAGCCUCUACAGACCAAGCUCAUGACUCACAAUGGCCUAUUUAGGCCCAUACCCUACCUCACGGCAGUCUCCGCAGAUGAGCCUACUGCCUCACAACAGCCUCCACAGGCACAGCUCCAUCGUUACAAUGGCCUCUUUAGACCCAGCUCCUGCCUCCCAGCCUUCUCUCCAGGCCCUGAACUUUCUCCGUGGGACCAUCCAGUUUCAGGAAAAGAAGCUUAACACGCCCACUGAUUCUACAUUAUGCUCCUACCUCCCGGCAGCCUCGCCAGGCCCAGAACUCUCUCCAGUCAGCCUCUACAGACCAAGCUCAUGACUCACAAUGGCCUAUUUAGGCCCAUACCCUACCUCACGGCAGUCUCCGCAGAUGAGCCUACUGCCUCACAACAGCCUCCACAGGCACAGCUCCAUCGUUACAAUGGCCUCUUUAGACCCAGCUCCUGCCUCCCAGCCUUCUCUCCAGGCCCUGAACUUUCUCCGUAAGUUGAGGUAGCUGGGACUGUAGGUAUACAUGAUGAUACUUGGCUAAUUUUUAAAUUGUUUUGCAGACAUGGGGUCUCACUUUGUUGGCCAGGCUGCUGUCAAACUAAUGGCCUCAAGUGACCCUUCCACCCCUGCCUCCCAUCCUCGAGGUAUG